rnacentral:lncRNA from 1 species
GUUCACAGACCGUGAAGAAGCUCCACCCCAAACACAGAGGCACUGCUUGCUUUGGCCCCAAAACCCUGGUGCAGGACCUAGGGGACGUAGGGCGGCAGGACGAACAUUGGCCCGGCCCUCGCCUCCUCCUGUGACCCCGCAACCCCUCACCUCCCGCGGGGAGAAGAGGCGUAAGAGACGGGGUUUCACCAUGUUGCCCAGGCUGCUCUCGAACACCUGAGCUGAAGCUUCCCAAAGUGUAGGGAUUACAAGCGUGAGCCACCGUGCCCAGCCUCUACCCAACUCUUUUAGGACACAUUCCCAGGAGCCUAGCUACGUGGAGAAUAGCUAAAGCCCCAGCCUUCAACCCUUGCUUAACUCAUAGAGGACUGCCAUGUGAGUGAGCCAACUCAGAGGCAAAUUCUCAGUUAGCUGAUUUGCCCCAGCUGAUGGUGCAUGGAGCAAAAUGAGCCUUCCCCAUGAAGCCCUGCCCAAAAUACAGAUAUAUGAGCAAAAUAAAUGAUUGUUGUUUUGAAGCCACUGAGUUUUGGAGUGUUUCACUAUGGAGCAAUAGUAACUGAACUCAGGCCUAAAUACCAAGGAGUCAGCCAUGAGGAAAUCUUCAUAGAGCAUUUUAAGCAUAGCCAACAACAAAUCCCAUGGCUUGAAGACAGGAACAAGCUUGGCACACUGAGGAACAGAGACGGUCAGGUAGCUGAGGGGGAGAGCCCUAAGAAGCGUGGUUGGAGAGGAAGGCUGAGCCACAUUAAAGCCUCUUGGGCCAUGAAGAAGUCUGAAAUGAUCAAAAGUUCAGUAGGAGUUCAUUCUCCUCAUAGCCGCAAGAGCCAACAAGGGUUGUGAGCAAGGCAAUGAUGGGAUUUAUUGUCUUAAAAGAUGGCUCCAGAAGCUAUGGGGAGAAUGAUACGUAGCAGUAUGAAAGUGGAAGCAGAUGCUGGGCACGGUGGCUCAUGCGUGUAAUCCCAGCACUUUGGGAGGCCGAGGAGGGUGAAGAGCUUGAGCCCAGGAAUUCAAGACCAGCCUGGGCAACAUGGCAAAACCUUGUCUCUACAAAAAAUACAAAAAUUAGCUGGGCAUUGUGGUGUGCAC